GUAAGAGAAUGUUGUGACAGAUUCCCUGGAAGAACCUUCCGUAAGAGAAUGUUGUGACAGAUUCCCUGGAUGAACCUCCUGUAAGAGAAUGUUGUGACAGAUUCCCUGGAUGAACCUCCCGUAUGAGAAUGUUGUGACAGAUUCCCUGGAUGAACCUCCCGUAUGAGAAUGCUGAAUGCAUACUUCAUACAGUGUAUGGCAGUAGAUAAUUUCCAUAGCAAAUACCAUCCGCAUUUCAUAUGGAGAAUGACAUUUUGUAGCUUUUAUAUGUAAUUCAUCCUAAAUAGCAUCCUAAAUAGCACCCUAAAUAGCACCCUAAAUGGCAUCCUAAAUAGCACCCUAAAUAGCAUCCUGAAUAGCAUUCUAAAUGUCAUCCUAAAUAGCAUCCUAAAUGGCACACAACCUACAUCUAUCAUAGACCUUUGUAUCCAAUCAAUAUCCUCCUGGACAUUAACGUUGGCCUCAAUCCCUCAGUAGGGAAAUCUUUCUGUGGAAGGAUCAAUGAUCGCAGUCUUUCUGAUGAUAUAUUAAUAACCCUUGUGUUUCUAUUGAUCGUCGACUUGACAGACAGCAACAUUCCCUUAUGGGCAUGGAGGAGGGUUGUGAUGCCCUCUAUGAAGCCUGGUCACCAGGGAGGGUUGUGAUGCCCUCUAUGAAGCCUGGUCACCGGGGAGGGUUGUGAUGCCCUCUAUGAAGCCUGGUCACCAGGGAGGGUUGUGAUGCCCUCUAUGAAGCCUGGUCACCAGGGAGGGGCUGUGAUGCCCUCUAUGAAGCCUGGUCACCAGGGAGGGUUGUGAUUGCCCUCUAUGAAGCCUGGUCACCAGGGAGGGUUGUGAUGCCCUCUAUGAAGCCUGGUCACCAGGGAGGGUUGUGAUGCCCUCUAUGAAGCCUGGUCACCAGGGAGGGUUGUGAUGAGGGUUGUGAUGCCCUCUAUGAAGCCUGGUCACCAGGGAGGGUUGUGAUGCCCUCUAUGAAGCCUGGUCACCAGGGAGGGUUGUGAUGCCCUCUAUGAAGCCUGGUCACCAGGGAGGGUUGUGAU
ensembl:lncRNA